CAGCACUCGACUGUGCACAUAACAUUGCGAGAAGUGUCUCUGUUCAAAGUCUUUGCAGAAGAAAGGAAUUCAUACAGGUUUGGAAUAAUGUGAGGCAACCGCGCCGCAAAGUGAAGCACUGCAGCGGUGAGUCAACCUGCUGUCGUACUGACUAGAGAUGGAAGGACAGAUGAUAUAAGCUAGAGAUGGUGUCAGACUGAAGUGAUGUGGAUUUAGUCUAAACAAGGUGAGAAAUUGGACACAUUCAGGCAUUGAAAUGAUUGUGUACUGAUAAAGGUCACAGAGGUCAGAUGCACAGCUUGAGUUCCCUAUUGGAUUGGUGUAAUUUUUGGACAUAAUUAUCCUUGAUAAUUACUCAUUUGCAGGCACCUCAAAUGCUAUGGCCAUUUAUGAUAUUGAAAUGUUUUGCAGGUUCACACUCCCCCACUUCUUCUUCUUUUUCUUCUUUACAGUUCUCUCCCUCACUCCACUGUUCUUGUUUCUGAACCAUGAGACAUAUUAAUCAUUUCCUGGAGUGCAGCCACUCACAAGGCAGGUCUGAGCUCCUGUGAUCUGAGUGAGUCUUAACUCACUUCCUGUGUCUGGCUGGAGUUGUGUGCUGAGUGGGCGAGCUGAAAUGACUAGAGCCGUGUCACAGCACUGGAAAAAGAAUAAGAAAGACAAAGACGCAGCGAGAAUAUAAAUCUGCAUCACAAUCUGUAGAUGUGUAUUCAAUAUUUGCACCUGGUUUUGAUUUUAUGAGGGCAUAUUUGUUAUCUAACCAUACUACACACAUUUUGUCAUCUAUUUUUUGUCAAAUACUUCAACUGAAUUAACAGAAAUAAAAUUAUAGCUGUUACUUUAAAAAAAAAUAAUAUAGUAAUUAUUAAAAUGAUUAUAAAUAUGUUUAUAGUUUUGUUUUUAAUUUUUUACUUUUUAUAGCUUGAAAAAUGUUAGAAUUUAGUUUUAUAAUAUAUGGAGUGCAACAGAAGUUGUUUUAGCAAAACAUACUUUAAAAGCCCUAUAUAUUUAAUGUUGUAACAUAUAAAGGUUAUAUAUAUA